ensembl:lncRNA
CAAGCCACAUGGAAAGGCCACAUAUAGGGGCCCUCGUCAACAGCCCCGUGAGCCUGGCAUUGAGCAGCCCAGCUCAGAAGCCAGACAAGUGAGUGAAGAAGCCAUCUUGGAAGUGAAUCCCCAGCCCCUGCAGUUCCAGUCUUUCCAGCUGAGGCCACAGACACCAUGGAGCAGAGACAGCCAGCCCUACCAAAUUCUCGACCCACAGAAUCUGCAAAGAUAUUGUAGCAGAUGCUGUUGGCGUCCCACCCAUAUUGGUGGAUCCUUACCACUUCAGUGCUGGCCUGUCUCUUUCCUGCUGCUAGGAGCUGCAUCUCUUUGCUGAGGAUAGGCAAGACCACUCUUCCCCACUCACUGGAUGCAAAAGUGCCAAGAGAAAUCAACCAUUCCCACCCCCACAGCCUUUACCAUGACUGUUUGCAGUUGGUGUAUAAAUACCCCAGCUCCCUCCACCCUCAACAGUGUUACACUUUUGCCGCGUGUUACACUGCCGCGUGUUACACUUUUACAGUAUGUCCUGUACCAGUUCUCAGUUUCUCCACACAAUUAAGCUCCAACUUAAUUCCAAGAGCAGCUGGCCUAAUAAUGUGCCCUUAACUGGAUGCAGUCUCUUCCCUGUCUCGAUGCUCCGCUCCACUACUGUGUUUCCUGUACCAAUGGUGUGCUAGUAAACUGGUGCUCAAAACACAAAGAAAACAAAAACAAAACAAAACCAGCCCUGAGGUGUAGCACUUGCUGAUUUCCAUGAUGUAAAUACUCCUGCUAUGGCCUAUUUCAGGCUCUGUGAUUUCAGUUUGUCAUCACUGAACACAGAACUGAGAAGAGAUGUGCCCAGUCAGCUCUCCCCAGCCAGUACGAGCCACCUCCAGCACACCACGCCCUGUACCUCCUGAAUAAACCGUGCUCAAAUCCUUGUUUCAGGGUCUGCUUCUUGGGCAUCUCAAAGUAAGAGAAAAAAUAAAGUUCAGAGAAACUAGGUAAUUUCCUGAGGUAUGGACACUUUGUCAGUGGCUGAAGGAAUGCCUUAUUAUUACCUAACAAAUUAUAUGGUAAGAUGUGAGGUUAUUAUGUUAGUUACCUAGACUGUCACUUAUUUGUCAAACAGUAAUGCCUUAAAAGCAG